CCCUGAAUUAAUAGCUUGAUAUGAUGGAAUACUGAGUAACGGAGCACCGAAGCACGCAGAAAAUCCCAUUCUUGGGGCAUUUUGUCUCGCCAUACUAAUAUCAGCAGCGAAAUCUAAAUUCCCCCAAGCAAGAAUUGUAAGGCCUAAAAUAGCAUCGCUUAAUUGGAAAACAACACCAAAGGUGAAGAGGACGGCCAUAAUCUCAUUGGCAAUUAAAUCGAUCCAAAUCACGGACACUGCAAAAGCCAAAAACGAGAACAUCUGCAUCGUCGAAAUGAAUUAAAUUUUUGCUGUCCGCUAAAUGCUAUUUAAUAGUUAGGUACCCAAUGACCCUUCGGUGGCUUCUUCCUAUUGCUGAAAAUAGCUAGCAGCAGGCCAAGGCUGACUCCAAUGAUAAAAAUCAUCAGCGGUAGAGGUAGGAACUUAGCUAUCACGACGUUUCCAUCUGUACAGUUGGAGUCACCGCUAGUUGCACGCAGGUUAGAGAACGACACCAGCCUUGUCGAGGAUGGUCCUUACUCACCAGCGGGAUCGACAGUCUAAGUAUGAUAUAGAAGGGAGUCUAACCAGAUAUGAGAUCUGAUAGUGACGAUUAUUAAAUU